rnacentral:lncRNA from 1 species
ACAUUGUUGAGAAAAAACUUUAAAUACCACCCCAUGUGGUUUCACACUUUCUCAUUUUAGUACCCUGUGGUUUAAAGUGUAUCAAUUUAGUGCCAUGUGGUUUUCUUUUUAUCUUUUUAUUAUCGAUUUUACUAAUUUUUUUCGUUAAAUUAGUGACAAAGUUAAAACGAAAGGAUACUAAAGUGAAUAUUCGAUAAAUUUAGGUAGGGUAUCUAAAGUUUUUUUGUAUAUAAUUUAACGAAAUAUUAACGGAGGAAAAAAAUCAGUGACAAAAUUAAAACUAAAGGGUACUAAAGUAAAUAUUCGAUAAAUCUAGAUAUGAUAUUUGAAGUUUUUUGUAUAUAAUUUAAUAAAAUAUUAACAGAGGAGUCGACGAAAAAAAAAAAAAAAACCACUGGGUACAAAAUUGAUAUAUUUUAAACUAUAGGGUACUAAAGUGAGAAAGUGCGAAACCACAGGUACUAAAUUGAUACACUUUAUACUGUAGGGUACUAAAGUGAAAAGUACGAAACCACAAGGUGGUAUUUGAAGUUUU